UACGUAGGGUGCGAGCGUUGUCCGGAAUUACUGGGCGUAAAGAGCUCGUAGGUGGUUUGUCGCGUUGUUCGUGAAAACCGGGGGCUUAACCCUCGGCGUGCGGGCGAUACGGGCAGACUUGAGUACUGCAGGGGAGACUGGAAUUCCUGGUGUAGCGGUGGAAUGCGCAGAUAUCAGGAGGAACACCGGUGGCGAAGGCGGGUCUCUGGGCAACAACUGACGCUGAGGAGCGAAAGCGUGGGGAGCGAACAGG
rnacentral:rRNA from 1 species